rnacentral:rRNA from 1 species
UGGGGAAUAUUGCACAAUGGGCGCAAGCCUGAUGCAGCCAUGCCGCGUGUGUGAAGAAGGCCUUCGGGUUGUAAAGCACUUUCAGCGAGGAGGAAGGUGGUGAGCUUAAUACGCUCAUCAAUUGACGUUACUCGCAGAAGAAGCACCGGCUAACUCCGUGCCAGCAGCCGCGGUAAUACGGAGGGUGCAAGCGUUAAUCGGAAUUACUGGGCGUAAAGCGCACGCAGGCGGUUUGUUAAGUCAGAUGUGAAAUCCCCGGGCUCAACCUGGGAACUGCAUUUGAAACUGGCAAGCUAGAGUCUCGUAGAGGGGGGUAGAAUUCCAUGUGUAGCGGUGAAAUGCGUAGAGAUCUGGAGGAAUACCGGUGGCGAAGGCGGCCCCCUGGACGAAGACUGACGCUCAGGUGCGAAAGCGUGGGGAGCAAAACAGGAUUAGAUACCCCUGGUAGUCCACGCUGUAAAACGAUGUCGAUUUGGAGGUUGUGCCCUUGAGGCGUGGCUUCCGGAGCUAACGCGUUAAAUCGACCGCCUGGGGAGUACGGCCGCAAGGUUAAAACUCAAAGGAAUUGACGGGGUCAUAGC